CAGUAGCCACGGGAAUACCGAGGGUGCGAGCGUUAAUCGGAAUUACUGGGCGUAAAGCGUACGCAGGCGGUUUGUUAAGUCAGAUGUGAAAUCCCCGAGCUUAACUCGGGAACUGCAUUUGAAACUGGCAGGCUAGAGUCUCGUAGAGGGGGGUAGAAUUCCAGGUGUAGCGGUGAAAUGCGUAGAGAUCUGGAGGAAUACCGGUGGCGAAGGCGGCCCCCUGGACGAAGACUGACGCUCAGGUACGAAAGCGUGGGGAGCAAACAGGAUUAGAGACCCCGGUAGUCCCUGUCUCUUAUAC
rnacentral:rRNA from 1 species